rnacentral:tRNA from 1 species
GCGCGGGUUGCCGAGCUAGGCCAAAGGCGCAGCGCUUAGGACGCUGUCCCAUAGGGGUCCGCCGGUUCAAAUCCGGUCCCGCGCA